rnacentral:rRNA from 1 species
UUUGAUCCUGGCUCAGGACGAACGCUGGCGGCGUGCUUAACACAUGCAAGUCGUACGAGACGAUUGAAAGCUUGCUUUUGAAAGUCGAGUGGCAAACGGGUGAGUAACGCGUAGACAACCUGCCGUAAAGAUGGGGACAACAGUCCGAAAGGACUGCUAAUACCGAAUGUUGUGGAACUUCCGCAUGGGAGCUCUACUAAAGAUGGCCUCUACUUGUAAGCUAUUGCUUUACGAUGGGUCUGCGUCUGAUUAGCUAGUUGGUGGGGUAACGGCCUACCAAGGCGACGAUCAGUAGCCGGUCUGAGAGGAUGAACGGCCACAUUGGAACUGAGACACGGUCCAGACUCCUACGGGAGGCAGCAGUGGGGAAUCUUCCGCAAUGGGCGCAAGCCUGACGGAGCAACGCCGCGUGAGUGAAGAAGGGUUUCGACUCGUAAAGCUCUGUUGUCGGGGACGAAUGUGGAGGUUGUGAAUAACAGCUUCCAAUGACGGUACCUGACGAGGAAGCCACGGCUAACUACGUGCCAGCAGCCGCGGUAAUACGUAGGUGGCGAGCGUUGUCCGGAAUUAUUGGGCGUAAAGGGAGCGCAGGCGGGAGGUCAAGUCUAUCUUAAAAGUGCGGGGCUCAACCCCGUGAGGGGAUGGAAACUGGUCUUCUUGAGUGCAGGAGAGGAAAGCGGAAUUCCUAGUGUAGCGGUGAAAUGCGUAGAUAUUAGGAGGAACACCAGUGGCGAAGGCGGCUUUCUGGACUGUAACUGACGCUGAGGCUCGAAAGCGUGGGGAGCGAACAGGAUUAGAUACCCUGGUAGUCCACGCCGUAAACGAUGAAUGCUAGGUGUAGGAGGUAUCGACCCCUCCUGUGCCGGAGUUAACGCAAUAAGCAUUCCGCCUGGGGAGUACGGCCGCAA